UCAGGCAACUACCGAGUUGGUUGAGCAGAUUAUUAUCAAUCCAAAGAGCUGAGAAAAGUACGAAGACAAUUAUGGAUUUUCUUUAUCGGACUCAACUGUGCAGCUCGACUGGGAACACAUGUCAUACCGAAUAUGUUCAUAGUUUUUGCUUAACGACAAAUGGAUUUUCUUUGAUUGUUUUUGAUGUGAUACUCUUUUGAAAUGUUAAGGCCUUGGAUUACAUUUCUCAAGUAUUGAAGAUUAAUUGUUCAUCAAAAAUGACUCCUGAAGUUCGCUUGAAGGUAUGUCAAGAUUGGCUUUGAUAGUUAGAGCAUAUAAUGAUUAUAGGAUCUCGAUCUUAAUAUAGAAGCUUUCUAGUCAAUGAGUUUGUGUUGUUCAAGUUCCGAUGCUGUUAAACCACAACGCAACCAACCGGUACCUUCCGCUACCAAGACUCCAAGCUCCGGUAUUGUUUCUUCCUUUUCGGUGCCCAUUACGUCGUCAUCCGCUCUACUCGAUGAUGAUUCUGCCUCUUCGUCUUCCGCCGGUGUUCAUGCGCGGACUAAAGAUCAGCCUCCAACCAAGCCCCACACAGAAGAUCUGUCAUGAUCCGUUGCACUGGAUCCUGACGAGCAGCUCGCAUCACCCACGGAAGAGUCGUGGCAGACCAUGAUCCAGCCAAGCGAAGGGGGAGAGCCACCAGUGCACUAAGAUCAGCGUACCCGGAAAGAGCCAAUCGAUGAGCAUAGGCUGAAGAUUUUAAGGUAGCACAACACUAAGAGGCUUUGUGGUCAAGAUUUCUACAAGUGCACAUGUGGCAAGAACAUACACAGUUACUAGGCUUACAGAUCAGAGUGUGUACGAGUUAGAGGGGACUUGUUGAGCCACUGCCACCAGAUGCUAGAAAGAAUCAAAUUAAUCAGGUAUGAUGAUAAAGUAUUAUUUGUUUCACCCCUUUACUUGUUUUGUCAAAACACACUUGACUCGGGCGAAUCUAGGGGCGCUUCACAUUGUUAGUUCACAAUAGAUGAAAGAGGUGUUGAUUCGUGAUCCGGGUUAUGGUUGGGUACAUUGAGGCGUGUGUCGGGCGUCGAUUUGGUUCAUACGUGACAUUUCUGGGUCUCAAUUUGGAUCGCGUCGUUCUCUGUCUCCAUCAAGCGAACCACAUCCUACCUACAACAUUGUUUUGCCCAAAGAUUAAGACUUUGAUAUCGUGGGUGAUCAAAGAAAGAUUAGGAAUACAUGAUUUUUUAUUUUAAUUUUAUUAUUAAUUAACUAUUUGUGUGGAAUUAAAAAUGACGUAGAUUUAGCCACGUAAGCAUUUGCGUGCCACUCAGCACCCUUGCCGGACCUCCGCUCUUCGACGAUGACCAAAAUCAAAAUGUGCACAAUCGUAGGAAUGAGAAUCAAACUUUGUUCCGGUUAGGGACUAAAAUCAAAUUCACUUACGAACACAGGGACUAAUAUAAUCAUUAACCCUUUUUUAAAUUAAAUUCCUUUUCGACUAAUCAUGUUUGGUUUUUUUUUUUGAUAGACAAAUGUUAGUGGUUAGUUGUUAGUAAGUUAGAAAUUUCCUUCAAAGUACCCUUCCAGGAUUCGAACCCUGGACCUUCCCUUCCCCACCCUUAUGUCUCCUAGCUCUUACCACUUGAGCUAAUCCUCGGUGUAUAGGCGGAUAUUUAGGCUUCUAUGCCGGCUAUGAUUUAAUCUAUUUGAUGUUUCGUUCAAAAAAAAGAAGUAGCUGCUCAAUUAUCUUGCUUAGACAAAAUCAAAUGAGAGAUAUUAUACAUGAUUACUUUUAUGCCAUGUUGUG